rnacentral:rRNA from 1 species
UACGGGGGGGGCAAGCGUUGUUCGGAAUUACUGGGCGUAAAGGGCUCGUAGGUGGCCAACUAAGUCAGACGUGAAAUCCCUCGGCUUAACCGGGGAACUGCGUCUGAUACUGGAUGGCUUGAGUUUGGGAGAGGGACGCGGAAUUCCAGGUGUAGCGGUGAAAUGCGCAGAUAUCAGGAGGAACACCGAUGGCGAAGGCAGGUCUCUGGGCAUUAACUGACGCUGAGGAGCGAAAGCAUGGGGAGCGAACAGG